rfam:TPA: Bos taurus chromosome 6, whole genome shotgun sequence.
UCCCUAGUGGCUCAGAUGGUAAAGAAUCUGCCUACAAUGUGGGAGAUCCAGGUUCGAUCCCUGGUUUGGGAA